rnacentral:rRNA from 1 species
CAGUCGCCGCGGUAAAACGAAGGGUGCAAGCGUUACUUGGAAUUACUGGGCGUAAAGCGUGCGUAGGUGGUGGUUUAAGUCCGUUGUGAAAGCCCUGGGCUCAACCUGGGAAUUGCAGUGGAUACUGGGUCACUAGAGUGUGGUAGAGGAUAGUGGAAUUUCCGGUGUAGCAGUGAAAUGCGUAGAGAUCGGAAGGAACAUCUGUGGCGAAGGCGACUAUCUGGGCCAACACUGACACUGAGGCACGAAAGCGUGGGGAGCAAACAGGAUUAGAUACCCCAGUAGUCCUGUCUCUUAUACA